rnacentral:rRNA from 1 species
AUUGAACGCUGGCGGCAGGCUUAACACAUGCAAGUCGAGCGAGCGGCGGACGGGCGAGUAGUGUCUGGGAAACUGCCUGAUCGAGGGGGCUAACGACUGGAAACGGUAGCUAAUACCGCAUAACAUCAGUUGUGCCCAGAUGGGAUUAGCUAGUAGGUGGGGUAAUGGCUCACCUGGGCGACGAUCCCUAGCUGGUCUGCGAGGAUGAACAGCCACACUGGGACGGAGACACGGGCCAGACUCCGACGGGAGGCAGCAGUGGGGAAUCUUGCACAAUGGGCGAAAGCCUGAUGCAGCCACGCCGCGUGUGUGAAGAAGGGUUUCGGGUUGUAAAGCUCUUUCAUCAGGGAGGCGGUACUCGAAGAGGAAGCACCGGCUAACUACGUGCCAGCAGCCGCGGUAAUUC